CUGUGGUGCAUUGUAGUUGCAUUGCAUGUGUCACAGAGGUGUGCAAUGCCUCUGCAGUGCAGCCCAG
rfam:Alligator mississippiensis ScZkoYb_201, whole genome shotgun sequence.